UUUUAUUUCCUUUUCUUCUAAAAUUUAUAUUAAAUAGCUCCUUUAAUAUUUUUUAAUCUAGUUUUUUUCCAUAAUUCCAUAAAAAUAUUUUCUAUCACAUACCAUUUUUUUUUUUCAUUUUUUGAAGAAUCAUUUAAUUUUUGCAUUUAUUUCAUAUUUUCCAUUUAUUUCUCUUUUUGCAUUUUUAUUUUAAUCAUUUUAAAACAUUUUUUUACCCCAACUUUUGAGGUCAAACUUCUCAUAUUUUUUUUGACCUUCCGCAUUUUUCUUGGACCUUUAUUUGAUGCUUUGACCCCUCUUUGACAUUUUCUUUUUAUUUUCUUUAUUUAAUUAAUAUCAAAUCAUUUUUUAUUCAUU
rnacentral:lncRNA from 1 species